AGCACGAUUGCUGGAUCAUAUGAUAAGAAUAUGUUUAGUUUUGUAGGAAACUGACAAACUUUCUUCCAAAGUGGCUGUACCAUUUUGCAUUUCCAUCAGCAAU
rnacentral:pre_miRNA from 1 species